CCAGCGCCUCCCACCCUGUGUGUGUGUUUUAACUAUAUGUUGUGGCUAUGCAAAUAGAGCUGUGUGAUCCCCACUCUCUGGUUGGACCACGACGGCAGAGGCGUGACUGCAACCAGGAGUCCUGCGAUUGGUGCGGCGCUCACCAGGCUGACCAACCGAAAACUGCCAACUCUUUUAAAAGCGUUGGCAGUUCAACUGAACGAGGCAGCUGACUUCUAGCGUGUCAUUCUGUGUGAUCUGUGUGGCUGAGGCAAGAUAGACUGUGUGGUUUCCCAGAGACUAUGGGUUGAGGAGGAAGUGGAAGUUUGUCGGCUUAGACCUAGUGUCAUUCCAUCAGUGUUAACCUUCCCGGCUCAUCUUGGAAGAGUACGUGCCAGAAAGACCACGACUAAGCAGCCUUGAGAUCUUAGGCAGCGUCUCCCUGAGGUCCCUCUCUAUCUCCCCACACAUCCACCAACCACUGGAACACAUCUCCAAAGUUCUGCCAGGCCAGCUCAGCUUCCCCUCAGAAGAAGUGCUGCCACCUGCCAGAUGAAGGAGCCUUUUGAGAGGCAGCUGGCAUCGUGAUUGGACUGUACUUUGGUCUGUUCCAAUCCAGCUUCAGCUCCAGAGACGGCAGGCGGGACGAGUCAACGGAGGCCAGGUGGACGAAGACCAAAGAACUACAGACUCUUCACAACCUGCUCAAACUCUUGGUACAGGACCUCACCACACGGGUCAAGAAGGUUUCCGUCUCAUUUCUACUCUGAAGCUCACCUUCUCCUGCUCAAACUGCUGACAAAUGUUUCUGCUGCUCUAAAGUCUGGUCUCCAGAACUUCCUAAAAACUCUCAAAGUCUCUUCUGCUGCAGGUUGCUUUGUAGAACUGUUGCAGAAAACCUCACUAAACCACAUGGAGGGGCCUCAAGAUAGUCGUCCAAAUGAAACUGUACAAAAACCAACUAGCACAACACAAACACUAAAGUCUCCUGCAGCCUACCAGAGAACCUCUGAGAACAGAGAACCAGGACAGGAACUCUUACCUUCUGGACAACCAACGCUGGUUCUCAAACAAGAAUACAGAAUGUGUCUGACCAAAAACCUCUGAAGACUCACUACAGCCAAGAUAAAGACACAACUCAGCUGCACCAAAUCCACUAAUCACUGCACACAUUGCACCAUGUGCUAACUGUGGCUAAAGAACCACAUUUACCAAGACAACUAUCCAGUACAAAGCCCUAAAACACACCAAGAAACACAUUAAAGACGUUUUACUGCUGGAAGCUGCAAGCCAACGCCUAAAGAACAGACUAAAGCAAUGAAGCCAAACCCAGUUCAGUGGUGGAGAAGCAGAGGAAAUGUUUGUCUGCAGCUAAAUAAAGCAGGAAGACACUGAGCUACUCAGGUGUUCCUAAUAACACCUAGCAGCCACCUGGACAGCCAAUAGGAACACAGCUUACUUGGAGUCCAGAGGGCUGGGUUAGUGAAGGAAAUUUAAUUUAAAGUUGAAGCAGAAAGUUAACAAAGAAAGUUGAAAACCACCUUCUGAUCCCUGAAAUCUAUGAGUUUUCACACAAAGAACACCUGAACAUGUCAAACUGGUUUCAUAGUAGAACCAUCAUUGUAAAAACGUCAUAGUAUGGUGUGUUGCUCAAAAAACAUUAGGACCCGGCUGUCAGGGGACAAACAUGUAAGAAACAUGAGAACAGAGAGAACCCAACCAGUAGGUCACAGUUUAUCAUCCCCCAGUCAUCUCCUGAAGUCCAUAUGGUGAGAGACAUCAGUAUCUGGUUGUUAAUUUACCAGAGGAUGCUUAUAAUCAUGCUGAUGUGGUCUGUACUCUACAGUAUUUUAGUGACUCAAUAAAUGCCUAAGUUGUUUUUUUUAAUGCUUUUUAGUUUUUAAAUAAACAUUUAAUAGCCUAUAUGUAAACAAUAAGUGGCCUUUGCCUAUCUUAAGAAAAACUCACUCAGAACUCUGAUAUGUUAACAGUACUAAAUAAAUCAAUAAAUACAUGCAUACACACAAAAAUAAGUUAAUACAUUAACUGUGUUAAGAUAAGAUUUAGAUUUUUUUUUAAAAAGUUGUUUAUGUUUUUGCAGAAUCCAGUAUUACUCACUGGUUGGUCAUUACAUUUUGUUCGUUUGAUUUCACUGUUUAAAAUGAUGCCACCUCUUUUCAGACAGAACCUGUGAUAAUAAAACAAUACAAAAUUUUUAGUUCCGUGUUAAUAAAGCACUUAAAGCUUUAAGUAUGGCUAAAUGCUUUUUUCAAAAUUAAAUAUAUCACUCCUUAGGUGGUAGUGGCCCCAAGUUCAGUAAAGUUGGAAAGAUAUUCACAGAUUUGGACUUCCAGCAUCAAUAACUCGUUAGAUAUAGGUUGUCAAAACAUAAACGGUGCCUCUUUCCCAUUGUUGCAAGGCAGACAAUGUGCUACAAGCCCAGUUUUAUCAAAAGUAGCUGUCUUUCAAGCUACAGGAAUAACAUUGGUGUCUAUGGAGUGAACAGGGUCCGUCUGCAAUUUGCAAAACCACUGCAACAGUAAAGAGAGACAAAUAUUCAAUAACUUCACUCUUAUACAUUGUAGUGUCACUAAAAUCACUGCAGCCUUCAACUGGCUCCUGUUGACAAAGUGUUUUAACAGAAAUGUAAAUGCUGUAAUUUGAUUCUUUUAAUGAACCAUGUAACUUGAAUGGAUGUGAUGCUGGUGUGACCACAGUGCACACGUCUGAUGUUGCUCACAGUGGUCCAAGGGACGCUCAGGGAGUUUGUGUGUUUGCUCAGACUCAGGAAAAAUUACAGGGAACAUUGGUUGGGACUCAAGCACUUCCUUCUUUUACUCACUAUCUCCCCAGCCUUAGAAAAAAAAAAACCUGUUCACACGGCACAGAUGAGGCUGAGGUACACAGGAAAUGUUUGGCUCCAUUGUACAAGUUUGGGUAAACGGUUUUGUGGGUUGCCCAGUAAGCCAGUGGGUCUGCCGUUCUUUCUACAAUUGCAUUCGCUGUGGCGCUUUGCAUUUGCCAGGCUCUACUUGCGUCUUCGUCUAAUAGGCUCCACAGUUGAACUGAAAAAUAUUGAAGAUCAUCAUCAUCAUCACCAGAAAUGUCAGUCAUUCCCUAUUCAGAAGAGAAAAAGAAUACCUGUGGAAGGUGCUGCUGGUGGUGGAGGACGAGGCUGUGGUGGUGCUUGUGACGUAGAUGACUGCUGCUUGGUAUUCUUUAUGUUAAUUGUUGUGCAUUCUGUUAUUAAACGUUCUUUCACACUG